GACGAACGCUGGCGGCGUGCCUAAUACAUGCAAGUAGAACGCUGAAGGAGGAGCUUGCUUCUCUGGAUGAGUUGCGAACGGGUGAGUAACGCGUAGGUAACCUGCCUGGUAGCGGGGGAUAACUAUUGGAAACGAUAGCUAAUACCGCAUAAUAGCAGUUAUUGCAUGAUAACUGUUUGAAAGGUGCAAUUGCACCACUACCAGAUGGACCUGCGUUGUAUUAGCUAGUUGGUGGGGUAACGGCUCACCAAGGCGACGAUACAUAGCCGACCUGGGAGGGGGAUCGGCCACACUGGGACUGAGACACGGCCCAGACUCCUACGGGAGGCAGCAGUAGGGAAUCUUCGGCAAUGGACGGAAGUCUGACCGAGCAACGCCGCGGGAGGGAAGAAGGUUUUCGGAUCGGAAAGAUCUGUUGUAAGAGAAGAACGAGUGUGAGAGUGGAAAGUUCACACUGUGACGGUAGCUGACCAGAAAGGGACGGCUAACUACGUG
rnacentral:rRNA from 1 species